UGCCUCGUCGCAAUAAAAAGUCUCAAGCUGCAAAACGGCGCUAUGUUCCACUGGACAUUCAUGCAGAAGGCCAGCGACUGCCAAAGGCCCAGAAGUCUUUUGCAGAUGUUGUGAAACCUGUUGAAAGACCACAGCCCACAGACGAUGUCGUAAGCAGGCAGCGGUUUUCAGAGGCCCCGCUGUCUGCUGAAGUUUUGCAGACCUCUGAAACGGUUGCACUGCCGACUCAGCCUGCAUCUUUGUCCUUCUGUGACACCUCUAUCUCACCUGACAUAAACAAUCUUUCUAUCUUUCCUGUCCUUCACAACAACAAGACAAGCAAAAGCACUUUGCAUUCUCGUUCAAACAAACUCAAUGAUUCUGUCACAAAGCCUGUGCCCUCAAACAAACUCAAUCAAUGUCAAAUGGCUUCAAUUACUCAAUCUUUGAACCUUCCUCAAACAGCUAUGCAAGUUACUGACGGCUAUGUGAAAGCUAUUCGUUCUUCUUUUAUUCAGUCUGUUGACGUUGCAGAUAACCGCGUCCUAACAGGAUCCUUUCAUCAAGGCGAUGCUCGGUUUGGCGAUGCAGCUGAAAGACAAUGCGGACCAACCAGCCUGGUUGCGGCUUUGAAGUGUAAAACAAAGAAUGUGUUGACCUGGGAUUGCACUGAUAUAAAUGAUGUGGUUGAACAGGGAACAUCAUUGUAUAACUGUCUGAAAAAUGCCAACAAAAUUAAAGACGUAAAUCAAGGUC